rnacentral:piRNA from 1 species
UAACAUCCGGAUAAAAGCCUUUGGAAUGUA